rnacentral:tRNA from 2 species
GGGCAUGUAGCUCAGUUGGUUAGAGCGCGUCACUGAUAAUGACGAGGUCCCCGGUUCGAAUCCAGGCAUGCCCACCA